rnacentral:rRNA from 1 species
GACGAACGCUGGCGGCGUGCCUAAUACAUGCGAGUAGAACGCGCAGUUUAUACCGUAGCUUGCUCCACCAUAGACUGUGAGUUGCGAACGGGUGAGUAACGCGUAGGUAACCUGCCUGGUAGCGGGGGAUAACUAUUGGAAACGAUAGCUAAUACCGCAUAAUAUUAAUUAUUGCAUGAUAAUUAAUUGAAAGGUGCAAUUGCACCACUACCAGAUGGACCUGCGUUGUAUUAGCUAGUAGGUGAGGUAACGGCUCACCUAGGCGACGAUACAUAGCCGACCUGAGAGGGUGAUCGGCCACACUGGGACUGAGACACGGCCCAGACUCCUACGGGAGGCAGCAGUAGGGAAUCUUCGGCAAUGGACGAAAGUCUGACCGAGCAACGCCGCGUGAGUGAAGAAGGUUUUCGGAUCGUAAAGCUCUGUUGUAAGAGAAGAACGGGUGUGAGAGUGGAAAGUUCACACUGUGACGGUAUCUUACCAGAAAGGGACGGCUAACUACGUG